rnacentral:rRNA from 1 species
AGAUGCGAUCAUACCAGCACUAAAGCACCGGAUCCCAUCAGAACUCCAAAGUUAAGCGUGCUUGGGAGAGAGUAGUACUAGGAUGGGUGACCUCUUGGGAAGUCCUCGUGUUGCAUUCC